rnacentral:rRNA from 1 species
ACUCAAAUGAAUUGACGGGGGCCCGCACAAGCGGUGGAGCAUGUGGUUUAAUUCGACGCAACGCGAAGAACCUUACCUGGGCUUGACAUGGCCGGGAAAGCCGGUGGAAACACCGGCCCUCCUUCGGGACCCGGUCACAGGUGCUGCAUGGCUGUCGUCAGCUCGUGUCGUGAGAUGUUGGGUUAAGUCCCGCAACGAGCGCAACCCUCGCCUCUAGUUACCAGCGGGUCAUGCCGGGGACUCUAGAGGGACUGCCGGUGCCAAACCGGAGGAAGGUGAGGACGACGUCAAGUCAUCAUGGUCCUUACGCCCAGGGCCACACACGUGCUACAAUGGCGGGGACAGAAGGCUGCGAGCCGGCAACGGUGAGCCAAUCCCCAAACCCCGCCUCAGUUCGGAUUGUCCUCUGCAACUCGAGGGCAUGAAGCUGGAAUCGCUAGUAAUCGUGGAUCAGCUACGCCACGGUGAAUACGUUCCCGGGCCUUGUACACACCGCCCGU